UGAUAGCUUGCAGAGGCCAGUCACACUCCACCUGGAGUCAGGGAAUCCGGUGCGAAUCCGGAGCUGACGCGCAGCGGUGAGGGGGACGGGCGGGGCCACGGCCACUGGGACGCCUUCGGGGCCCCGGGAAGGCGUCCCGUCCGGGUGAACCCGAGUCCGAAGACCUGCUGGUACCGCUUCCGCCCC
rnacentral:ncRNA from 2 species